rnacentral:lncRNA from 1 species
CUUUGAAGGACGUAUUUUAUUUUGACAAUAUGGCCGCUACUGAAGCAGCAAUACAUUAGGGGAUUUAACGGGAUAACUAAUCCAACUGAUAGUUAUCUGAUCCACUUUAAAGAACAUUUUAUCUUGACGAAGUGGUCACUACCAAGCCGUCACUAUAUAAACGUAAUAGUACAUAAUAAAUUACUUCACUUGAUUAAGAUCUCGGCUGCUCUUUAUUUUUGCGAUGUCGAGUUGUUUUUGUGGUGUCAGGUUGGAUGUUGCCUUUUAUUUGUUAGCCACCAUAUCGAGUUCCCUAGAGUUUGAUUUUGAAGAAUGAAAUUUCAACCGAUGGACUUGUCACCCGGUUGUCUUGUCUGGAUUAGUUGAUCUUCCAUCGGUUUGGUUACUGAAAAGGAAGUAUAGAGGACUGGAAACAUUAAGAUGAAGACAACGCUAGUAUUUUGGUCAGAUAUUUUUUACCCCGGCGUGGAACUAUUACGAUUCUUGUAUGUUGUAUUCUAUCAUCAUCGGAUCUAGCUGUGCCCAUGAUCUAAAAACGUUUAUAUAAUCAAACGAGGAUUUCAUAAAAAAUGUAAAGAAGGAAAACAAAACCGUUAGGAUCUUUACAGGCUGUAGCGCUUUUGAUGGAUUAUGUUCCAGUUGACCAGGAGGAGUUUUCCAUCUAUGGUUUCAAGCUGGUAGGCUCCUUUGUCGACUAUCCCACUGAUUCGACAGUACUUAUCAAUUAGGGCCGAGCUUCUCCAUAUUAUGCCCCCGGGUUUCGAGAAAACCCUUCGAGAGGACGUAGUCCCCCACUUUAAAGUAUCCGAGGUUAGUUUCUCAUUUUUAUAUUUUGAGUUGUAGAGCUCGGUUUUGGACGAUUUUGAAGGGAAUUUUCACGUCUUGGAUCGGGGUAAGUGUUCUUGACUCGAAUUUGUUAAUUAAUCAUGAUUUCAUCUUAGUUUUAUUAUUUAUUUAGUGAAUUAAAGUGAAGAAAAUGGGGAAUUUUUGUAAAACUUCCUAAAGUGAAAUUUGGGGAUUUGAAGAUUGAUUUGAAGUCGGAAUUGGAUAAUUUUGGUAUGAUUGGACUCGUUAUUGAAUGAGUGUUCAGAUUUUAUGAGUUUGGUUGGGUUUCGAGGUGCGGGCCCACGGUUGACUUUUUGAUUCUCUUUAAAGAUUGUAACUUUAUUAUCCGGAAUAGUUUCUUAUGGUUUGUAUUUAUGGUAUUAAGUUAUUUUGGCUAGAUUCGAGCCGUUUGGAGUUGGAUAUUCGCGAGAAUGGUUUACUAGCAGGAUCAGUUAGCUUGUUUGAUGUAAAUAUCUUGCAUAACUUUGUAUGAGAGAACUACCCUUUAUGAUUUUGGUUGAUUGUGCUUUUUGUGUAAUGUGAAAGCCGUGUACGCAAGGUGACGAGUGGGUAUACGGGCUAUAUGUGUUAUUUUGACUGAAGCCGGGCCAUAUGUGGUAUUUUGAGUUAUUGGUGUUGAAAUUAUAAAAGCCUUUAUCACAUUGAAGCGAAGUUAUUAAUUGUUGAGGUAUCUAUCUUGUUGAGCUAUUCACUUUUAUUUUGUUAUUGUUGAGAUUCUUGUACGCAUUGUGGUUGAGCCAUGUGCUAUUUGUUGUGAAAAAAAUUGGUAUUGUUGACUUUGUGGCAAGUUGUAGGAUAUGGGCACUUGUGGUCCAAGUUGUGAUUGUGUUGUGAUAUGGAUACAUAUGCGGUGGUAUAAGGCUAGGGGUUGAAAUGCUUGCGGCGAGAUAAGGUGGGCUUGAUACGCAUGUUGCUAGUAGGGGAACUACUUGAAGCCACGCGGUGUGAUAAUGUGUGCUGAAAGGCGGGUAGCUAUUUCGGGAAAAAUAAUUUUUAAAACUAAAUGCAAGGCUCCCGCGAUAAUAUAAGGAAAGAUUGUGAUUGAAAUUGAGAAAUGUGAAUAUGAAGCGGUACCUCGAUUGUGAUUCUUGUUGUGCAUUUCAUAUUGAAAAGAGUUAUUGGUUGACACAGUUCUUAUUUUUUUUAUUCUCCCUUGUCUUACCAGUUUUGUCCGUAUUUGAUUAUUUCUGGUUCCCUUAUUUGCUCCCUUCUCAUUGCCUUUAUGCUUACAAAUUUUGUCAUUUGUUUACAUUGUUAAGCUGCUUUGUUAAAUUUCAUUUCUCCAUUUUUCGUUACCUCGCUAGUUAUUAUAUUCUUCUCCAUUUAUCUUGUCUUAGUAGGUGUGUUGUCCUGGCCUUGUCACUAUUCUAUCGAGGUUAGGCUUGAUACUUACUGGGUACAAUUGUGGUGUACUUAUUCUACGCUUCUGUGCAGAUUCAGGUACAUCUUCUUGUACCAGAUGCUAGUGAUUGGUUUGCUAUCCUUGGAGACUUCAAGGUAUACAUGCCCGACGUCCGCAGUACUAGAAGUCACUCUCUACUAUAUCUUAUUACUGUUAUCCUUUAUUCAGACAGUGAUGUAUAUUGAUAUUUUAGUACUUCUUGUAGAGCUUAUGACUCAGUCUCACCGAAUUUUGGGAGUAUUGUAGUUGUGAUUCAGUUUUAAGAAAUUUAAGGCACUUAUUAGUUUAUAUUUUGUUUUUAGUCUUUAUUUCUGUUAUAUUCUCUUGUUUGUUAGGUUUACUUAGUCUGAAAGACUAGUUGCCAUCACGACAUCCUAAGGAGAAAAAUUGAGAUCGUGACAAUAAUAUUAUAAUCUCUAAGCAACUCAAGCCAUCUUUUCUACCUCAAAUUUAAAUCUGAAUUAUGCCUAAACCCCUCGGGUGCUAAACCAAACACAUGUACAAGUCUAAAAGUAACAUGCUAACCUACCGGAACCUUCAAAUCACAAAUCCGAGCUCGUCUACCCGAAUAUUGACUUUGAUCAACUCUCUUAUCUUAAGACCUCUAAUUAGGAACUAAGUAUUUCAAAUCAUUCAUGAAUCUCCCAAGACACAAAUCACCUAUACCCACAAGUCAUAAAAUAUAUGGACUUACAAAAUAUCUCAAAUAGGAAAAUAGAAUUCUAUAACUCAAAAUAACUAAUUGGGUUAUUACAGGUAAUAGUCUACUGCAACUUGUGCAAAUGUCCCAUCGGUCCUAAGAGGUACUACAGCCCGAAUCUACUGACCAAUUUCUCUAUAAAUGUAGCCCAAUAUUACUUGUUCAUAAACAACUAGAAAUACCAGUAGAGUGCCUCUCCAUCCAAAAAAAAUGAGGCCAAUGGAAGUGUUCGAUUCUCGCCGGUUCCAUAGAUAGAAAUCAGAAUACCUUUCUGCUUGAAAGACCCAUGUCUCUAGAUUUUCUCCUUUGAAUUGCCCAAAUUUGACUCGAGUUGGUUUGUUGUUGGCAUGAUGAUGAGCCACCGACAAUGGACCUCGAUGACCAAGAAGAAGCACAUGCCCAAAGCAUCAAGUGGACUGGGCCUUAUUUUAAAUCAUAUCUCAUGAUAAUUGGGCAUGGGAAUUUGGCAUGACAUGACAAUUAGGUCCAAUAACUGGCAUAAAAAAACCUAUGUUUUAGAAUUUGGAAUAUGGUAUCCUAAAGUUAUUCUCUCUUCUAAUGGUUCAACCACCAUCCUAAAAAUAAUCUCUCAUCAAAAUUAUUUUCAUUAAAAAUAGCAAAAAUUAUCAAAAAUCAGGUACAUCUGCUUCUGCCGGAUGCUAGUGAUUGGUUUGCUAUCCUUGGAGACUUCAAGGUAUACAUGCCCGACGUCCG